rnacentral:tRNA from 1 species
GGGCCGUUGGCGCAGGGGUAGCGCGCUUCCUUGACACGGAAGAGGUCACUGGUUCAAAUCCAGUACGGCCCACCA